AGAGUUUGAUCCUGGCUCAGAUUGAACGCUGGCGGCAUGCCUUACACAUGCAAGUCGAACGGCAGCACGGGAGCAAUCCUGGUGGCGAGUGGCGAACGGGUGAGUAAUAUAUCGGAACGUACCUUUCAGUGGGGGAUAACGUAGCGAAAGUUACGCUAAUACCGCAUAUUCUGUGAGCAGGAAAGCAGGGGACCUUCGGGCCUUGCGCUGAUUGAGCGGCCGAUAUCAGAUUAGCUAGUUGGUGAGGUAAAGGCUCACCAAGGCGACGAUCUGUAGCGGGUCUGAGAGGAUGAUCCGCCACACUGGAACUGAGACACGGUCCAGACUCCUACGGGAGGCAGCAGUGGGGAAUUUUGGACAAUGGGGGCAACCCUGAUCCAGCCAUGCCGCGUGAGUGAAGAAGGCCUUCGGGUUGUAAAGCUCUUUCGGCCGGGAAGAAAUCGCAUCAGCUAAUACCUGGUGUGGAUGACGGUACCGGAAUAAGAAGCACCGGCUAACUACGUGCCAGCAGCCGCGGUAA
rnacentral:rRNA from 1 species